UACGAAGGGGGCUAGCGUUGCUCGGAAUCACUGGGCGUAAAGCGCACGUAGGCGGAUUGCUAAGUCAGGGGUGAAAUCCUGGAGCUCAACUCCAGAACUGCCUUUGAUACUGGCGACCUUGAGUCCGGGAGAGGUGAGUGGAACUGCGAGUGUAGAGGUGAAAUUCGCAGAUAUCAGGAGGAACACCGGUGGCGAAGGCGGGUCUCUGGGCCGUAACUGACGCUGAGGAGCGAAAGCAUGGGGAGCGAACAGG
rnacentral:rRNA from 1 species